GAGAUGGCACCGUCUGGGCGAAAGGGAGUCCGGUUCCUAUUCCGGAACCCGGCAGCGGAACCGCUCCAAUUCGGGCCCUCAUCCGAGGACUCGUCGGGGUGACCCGAAAUGACCCGGAGAAGCCGUAGGGAGGUCCGGGGAGAGUUGUCUCUUCUCUAUAAGCGUUCGAGUUCCCUGGAAGCCUCUAGGAGGGAGAUAGGGUUUGGAACGCGAAGAGCACCGCACUUACGGCGGUGUCCGGAUCUUCCCCUCGGACCUUGAAAAUCCGGGCGAGGGCCACGAGGAACACCGCGCCGGCUCGUACCCAUAUCCGCAGCAGGUCUCCAAGGUGAAUAGCCUCUAGUCGAUAGAAUAAUGUAGGUAAGGGAAGUCGGCAAACCCGAUCUGUAACUUCGGGAUAAGGAUUGGCUCUGAGGAUCGUGGCGCGCCGGGCUUGGUCGGGAAGUGGAGCGGUGCCAACGUGCCGGGCCUGGGCGAGGCGAAGGG
rnacentral:rRNA from 1 species